rnacentral:rRNA from 1 species
CAGUCGCAGGCUCGUGUAUCUGGGCUCCGUCGCCAACUUGGGGAGUGUCAGAAGCUUGACUCCACCGCCACUGAGUUCUACAACAAAGUCAAGAGUCUCACCGACACGCUGGCCUCCAUUGGACAGCCCCUCACCGACUCCGAGUUCAACUCGUUUAUUGUCAAUGGUCUUGAUGAGGAAUAUGACGCCCUAGUCGAGAUCAUCAAUGAGAGAGGCAACUCCACGCCCAUGCCAGCACACGAGGUCUUUUCACGCCUCCUGCUUACUGAGCAACGAGUCGAGACGCGCCGAUCCAGGGGCAACGGCGCCCUCUCGGCAAACGCCGCCACCAAGGGUGGUCACUCCUCUGCUUCAUCCAGGGCUCCUUCGGGGUAG